rnacentral:rRNA from 1 species
CGACGACGGGUAGCCGGCCUGAGAGGGCGACCGGCCACACUGGGACUGAGACACGGCCCAGACUCCUACGGGAGGCAGCAGUGGGGAAUAUUGCACAAUGGGCGGAAGCCUGAUGCAGCGACGCCGCGUGAGGGAUGACGGCCUUCGGGUUGUAAACCUCUUUCAGCAGGGACGAAGCGUAAGUGACGGUACCUGCAGAAGAAGCGCCGGCCAACUACGUGCCAGCAGCCGCGGUAAGACGUAGGGCGCGAGCGUUGUCCGGAUUUAUUGGGCGUAAAGAGCUCGUAGGCGGCUUGUCGCGUCGACUGUGAAAACCCGCAGCUCAACUGCGGGCCUGCAGUCGAUACGGGCAGGCUAGAGUUCGGUAGGGGAGACUGGAAUUCCUGGUGUAGCGGUGAAAUGCGCAGAUAUCAGGAGGAACACCGGUGGCGAAGGCGGGUCUCUGGGCCGAUACUGACGCUGAGGAGCGAAAGCGUGGGGAGCGAACAGGAUUAGAUACCCUGGUAGUCCACGCUGUAAACGUUGGGCGCUAGGUGUGGGGGGCCUCUCCGGUUCCCUGUGCCGCAGCUAACGCAUUAAGCGCCCCGCCUGGGG